UUAAUAAAAGAGAUUAAUAAAGCCAUCACAAUGCAGUUAUAACUUUGAUGUCAAAGAACAUGAAAACGGGAUGGUUUAAAACUUAAUAUCUUUGCAACCGUUUUUCAAUAGCACGCGAUGCUAUAAAUUUUUUUCAUCAGCAUUUCAAGAUCUUUACUAUAAAGAGAACAGAAAUUUCUACACCUAUCGCCUUCAUCGUAUAGAUCUUGAAACACCGAUCAAGAAAGUGUAUAUGAUCGUGUUUUUUUGACAAAUAAAUGCAGAGAUAUUCGGGUUUAAAAGUUUUUGAUGACGUCAUUAACCCGUCCAUUCCGAAACGGAUUCGGUAACCCAGGUUUGGAAAACUUACCCAAAUUGGUCUCAGGUAGUCCCUAGUUACCCACGCAGGAGAUGACGUCAGUUAAUUCCAGCCGUUUCCAAGUUAUUUAGCCUUAAAUUUAAAAGUGCAAUGCAAUGGCUUCACUAAUCUUAAUAUACUUUCCUUUGACGCCAAUAUUGCUUUAACGUCAAAGUUUGCUAAUUUACAGAACAAAUUUAUAGGCAAUGUUUUAUAGACGUUAUCAAAGAAAUUUAAUCCACUUUGCAAAAGUCACAGACAGACAGACAGAACUGGCGUAUUAUUAUAUAGACUAGUCGAUAAGGCCCGUGGAAAAAUCCACUUAGGCAGAAGGACAAUGGAAAAGUAGAUUGUUUUAGAUUUUUUGCUGACAUCAGCAGUGCAAUUACAAAAAUAUUUGGCGAAAUUUCGUUUAUUCGUUGCCUGUACUAUGCAGAUGUUAAAACGCUGACCAAGAAAAUGUAUAUGAUCAUAUAUUUUUGAUAAGCAUUUUGCUGAUGUCAGCAAUGGCCAGUCAAACCCCCCCAAAUUUUUUUUUUAGAAAUUUGUAUACCUGUUGCCUUUAUUGUAUAGGUCUUGAAAAACUUAUCAAGAAAAUGUAUAGGAUCGCGUAUUUUUGACAAACGGUUGCAGAGAUAUUAGGAUUUGAAGGUUUUUCGAUGACGUCAUCAACAUGUCCAUUCCGAAACGGAUUCGGAGACCCAGGUGUGGGAAAAUUACCCAAAUUGGUCCUAGUUGGUCCCUAGUUACCCACGCGGUGAAAAAUCAUUGACGUUACCACCUCGUUUCCAAGUUAUUAGGCCUCAAAGUUUUAGGUGCACUGUAAUGGCUUCAUUAAUUUAAUAUAGGAUAUUGACGUUAAAGUAGUGUUAUUUUCGUCCCGUCGUAACGUAAGAAAAUUUAACAUAUUAGACAUGCAUUUUUCGGCAACAUCAAAGGAAAAUGAAGACAUCCACUUUGCCUGUCACAGACACACAGACAGACACACCUAGCGUAUUAUUAUAGAGACUAGUCGAUUAAGCCCGUGGAAAAAUCCACUUAGGCAGAAAAACAAUUGAAAAGUUCUGUCAUUUGAAUUUUGAUGACAUUAGCAAAUAUUUCAGUAUAUUGAAUAUGCCUUUUACUAAAAAAAAUAAUCUGAAAAUGCAUAAGAAGAAAGUAAAGUCAUAAUUUAACAAAAAAGUUCUUAAAAUCUAACACAAAAUAUCAAAUGUCAAAUUGCAUGAAAUCCUCCCAACAAAACUUCAGACAAAAUAUGAAAAACAAUGGCAUGCAAGGUGUAAAAUCUAGUUAGUAGAAAGUUACAACAUUGACAGUCACAACCCAGACAGUUACGACAACAAUAAUAAUAAUGUCAGAAAUAACACAUAUCUCAAAUAUGUAUACAUCUUAUUAUGUGAUUAUGUUGAAAACCUUCAAUAUUUUAAUCUGAAGUGUCGAAAAGAACAACAGUAACCACAGAUCUAUGAAAAAAGUUCUUUACGCAUUUUAAACAUUGUCUUUUCCCUAAAUGCUUAUACAACAAUACAACCUGAACAAUAUCAAAAAGCCAAACUUAAACAAACACAAAACACAUAAAAACAAAAAGUUAAACUUUGAAAAAUCAGUUAUUCGGUUGCAUACCAUCCUCUCCCGCAAAAAUAUGCACAAAAUGUAAAAAUUAACCGGUUAACAAAACAAUUUUUUGUCUAAUGAUCCGUACUGACUUUACCAAACAUUUUAACCUGAAAUGUCGAAAAAGCAAUGAGCAAGGAGUAAAUUUCAAAUCAACAAAAAUCAUUAUUUUGAAAACAUUGUAUAUAUAUAUGGUCCUUCCUCACAAAACUUUACAAUAAAUGUAGAACACAAAGGUUUAUGAGAGGCAAAUCAAAAUAUGAACAAAAAUCAGUUCAAUUGGCAUGUUCUAUAUUGUCUUCAGCCAUAAAAUCUUCCACAAAAUUGAUAUGAAACCCAUCAAAUUCAACUCAGAAAAAGCAGUCAUUUAAGUGCAUACAAAAAUACAACUUAUACAAUAUAUAAUUGCAUAUGGUCCUCCCUCACAACAGUUAAAUAGUUGCACUAAAUUUGCAACACAAAAUACAAAUUCUAAAUAAUUCCUAUGGUUUUCCUCAAAAGUUUAAUCAAAAUAUAAAAGAUGAGAGGUGAACGACAAAAUCAAAGUUUGCAGAAUUUAAUUAUUUUGGUAUAUAUAUGUCUAUUGAUAUCUGCCCUUUAUAACAAUAUUUCAAUCCAAAAUGUGAAAAAGAAAAACAGUUUGCAACAAAAUCAGUUAUUCUGAUGACAUUGCAUACACUUUUUCUCCACAAAAGUGUAAAAAAAGAAUGGUUGUAGGAAAUACUUCUGAUUCAACAAAAAUCAGUAUUUGCAUCUUGUACUCAUUAAAUAUUACCCAAAAUUUCAAAAAACUGUGAUUUGGAAUGCAUCAAAUUUAUAAAUAGAGAGGGAUCAGUCAUUUCGGUAUGUUGUACAGAGUCCUGUCCAGUAAGAAUUUAUACAAAUUAUAAAAAAAAAACCCUAACUCCCUCAAAAAAGUUGAAACUUUUCUUAAUUGAGACAAAAUGCCAUAAACAAAAACAUUUUAGUCAGAACAUCUAAAACAACAAAAAUCACUACACUUAAGGUACCAGAAUUACUACAUGUUAAAUAAAAAUCGUUUCGUCAUAUUGCAUGUAACCGAUGUAUAUAAGUUUAGUUACACAAAAUGUGAAAAAUACAUUAUUUGCAUACACAAAUUGUGAAAAAUACAUUAUUUGCUUAAAAACAGUCCUUAAACUCUUCUUAAAUAUUAUGUAAUACUUUUUUAAAAGUUGUUGUGGCUUGUUAAUUUAAGCUUAAAAUGUCAAUUAAAAUAAGUUACAGUCACAUUCUUAGCAAAGACCACUAAGAAUAGCUUACAUGUAAAAAGCAACAUAAAACUGAAGCUAACAUAAGGUAGCUACAGCAGCUAAUAGCUGGUCACUUAAAUAUAAACUGGAGACUUAGCUAGGUAUAAAGAACAUGGCUACAUAUUUAUAAAUUCCUAGCUACCUAGCUAGUUGUUGUUGGUGUGGUUGAUGCUAGCUAACAAACAUGUCUCGCAUCAAUAAUAUCAUCAAAACUUUAAAAAACAUAAACAAACCUUACAGAAACCUUUCUAUACUUCAUUUAUAUACCAUGCCCUUUUUAAAUGCUUUUGUAAAGAUUUAUUUUGAAGGCAAGAGAAGACAAAUGCUUAAAAAGGACAGCCAUCUUUUUUGCAAACACAAUUUCCGUUACUUUGUGCUAGAACUUCAUUUAACAAACCACACAAAACUCGCGGCUUUUCACGACAAAGAAGACAUAUUUUUUUCGGCAACAUCAAUGAUUUUUUCCGGCAACAUCAAAGAAAAAUGAAGACAUCCACUUUGCCUGUCACAGACACACAGACACACCUAGCGUAUUAUUAUAUAGACUAGUCGAUAAAGCCCGUGGAAAAAUCCACUUAGGCAGGAGGACAAUGUAAAAAUUGAUUAUUUUAGACUUUUUGCUGACGACAGCAGUGCAGAUACAAAAAAGAAUUAGCGAAGUUUGGUUUAUUGGUUGCCUGUAAUGUGUAGAGGCUAAAACCCUCAUGAGAAAAAUGUAUAGGAUCAUGGGUUUUCGACGAACGUAUAUAAGGAAAUAUAAGGGUUUGAAAAUUUGGCUGUUGUCAGCAAAGACCCGCAAUCACCCAUAAAAAUUUUUUCCAGAAUUUUAUAUAUCUAAUGUCUUCAUUGUAUAGAUCUUGAAAAGCUGAUCAGGAAAAUGUAUAGGAUUAUGUACUUUUGACAAACAGUUUCAGAAAUAUUAAGGUUUGAACAUUGACAGUCACAACCCAGACAGUUACGACAACAAUAAUAAUAAUGUCAGAAAUAACACAUAUCUCAAAUAUGUAUACAUCUUAUUAUGUGAUUAUGUUGAAAACCUUCAAUAUUUUAAUCUGAAGUGUCGAAAAGAAAGGCUUGCAACAGUAAUCACAGAUCUAUGAAAUAAGUUCUUUACGCAUUUUAAACAUUGUCUUUUCCCUAAAUGCUUAUACAACAAUACAACCUGAACAAUAUCAAAAAGCAAAACACCUAAAAACAAAAAGUUAAACUUUGAAAAAUCAUUUAUUCGGUUGCAUAUCAUCCUCUCCCGCAAAAAUAUGCAUAAAAUGUAAAAAUUAACCGGUUAACAAAACAACUUUUUGUCUAAUGAUCCGUACUGACUUUACCAAACAUUUUAACCUAAAAUGUCGAAAAAGCAAUGAGCAAGGAGUAAAAUUUCAAAUCAACCAAAAUCAUUAUUUUGAAAACAUUAACCCAUCAAAUUCAACUCAGAAAAAGCAGUCAUUUAAGUGCAUACAAAAAUACAACUUGUAGAAUAUCUAAUUAUUAUUUUUAGUAUAUAUAAUUGCAUAUGGUCCUCCCUCACAACAGUUAAAUUUUUGCACUAAAUUUGCAACACAAAAUACAAAUUCUAAAUAAUUCCUAUGGUUUUCCUCAAAAGUUUAAUCAAAAUAUAAAAGAUGAGAGGUGAACGACAAAAUCCAAGUUUGCAGAAUUUAAUUAUUUUGGUAUAUAUAUGUCUAUUGAUAUCUGCCCUUUAUAACAAUAUUUCAAUCCAAAAUGUGAAAAAGAAAAACAGUUUGCAACAAAAUCAGUUAUUCUGAUGACAUUGCAUACACUUUUUCUCCACAAAAGAGUAAAAAAAGAAUGGUUGUAGGAAAUACUUCUGAUUCAACAAAAAUCAGUAUUUGCAUCUUGUACUCAUUAAAUAUUACCCAAAAUUUCAAAAAACUGUGAUUUGGAACGCAUCAAAUUUAUAAAUAGAGAGGGAUCAGUCAUUUCGGUAUGUUGUACAGAGUCCUGCCCGGUAAGAAUUUAUACAAAAUAUAAAAAAACACAAUUUUUUUCGGUGUUGUACUCCCUCAAAAAAGUUGAAACUUUUCUUAAUUGAGACAAAAUGCCAUAAACAAAAACAUUUUAGUCAGAACAUCUAGAACAACAAAAAUCACUACACUUAAGGUACCAGAAUUACUACAUGUUAAAUAAAAUUCGUUUCGUCAUAUUGCAUGUAACCGAUGUAUAUAAGUUUAUUUAACUACACAAAAUGUGAAAAAUACAUUAUUUGCACACACAAAUUGUGAAAAAUACAUUAUUUGCUUAAAAACAGUCCUUAAACUCUUCUUAAAUAUUAUGUAAUACUUUUUUAAAAGUUGUUGUGGCUUGUUAAUUUAAGCUUAAAAUGUCAAUUAAAAUAAGUUACAGUCACAUUCUUAGCAAAGACCACUAAGAUUAGCUCACAUGUAAAAAGCAACAUAAAACUGAAGCUAGCAUAAGGUAGCUACAGCAGCUAAUAGCUGGUCACUUGAAUAUAAACUGGAGACUUAGCUAGGUAUAAAGAACAUGGCUACAUAUUUAUAAAUUCCUAGUUACCUAGCUAGCUAGUUGUUGUUGUUGUGGUUGAUGCUAGCAAACAAACAUGUCUCGCAUCAAUAAUAUCAUCAAAACUUUAAAAAGCAUAAACAAACCUUACAGAAACCUUUCUAUACUUCAUUUAUAUACCAUGCCCCUUUUUAAAUGCUUUUGUAAAGAUUUAUUUUGAAGGCAAGAGAAGACAAAUGCUUAAAAAGGACAGCCAUCUUUUUUGCAAACACAAUUUCCGUUACUUUGUGCUAGAACUUCAUUUAACAAACCACACAAAACUCGCGGCUUUUCACGACAAAGAAGACGUAUUUUUUUCGGCAACAUCAAAGAUUUUUUUCGGCAACAUCAAAGGAAAAUGACGAUAUCAACUUUGCCUGUUACAGACACACAGACACACUCUCCGUAUUAUUAUUUUAUAGAUUAAAUUAAUGAAGCCAUUACAGAGCAUUUAAAACUUUGAAGCCAAAUAACUUGAAACGAGGUAGUAACGUCGGUCAUUAUUCACCGCGUGGUUUUAACUACAAUACCUUUAUAACCAAUGGUCAAAAAUACAUGAUCUUAACCCAUCCGUUUCGGAACAGACGGGUUAUGUCAUCAAAGACCCUUUAAAUCCCUAUAGCACUUCCACAGUUUGUCAAAAACACAACAAAUUUAAAAAAAAAUAUUUGUGUGCAUUGAUGAGACUUUGUUGACGUCAGCAAUAUUUUAAAAUAUCUUUUUAAGUACUGAUCAAAAUCGCGCAUUUCUAUAGCUUAUUUUGAUCAGCAUUUUGAGCGCUACGAUAUGUAUAUCGGUAACGACUAAAAAAUGGGAAAAGGAUCUCUUUGUGUUUGUGUAUCGACGGGAACAUUGCUGACGUCAUCAAAAUUCAAAUGAUUGUUGUUUUUCAUUUAUUUGUAUAAGUAGAUUGUUGUCACCGGCCUUUUAGACUAGUAAUCAAUAAUAUGUACGUAUUAUUGAUAUAUGAAAACAUUGCAGUGUAAUUUCGAACUUUUUUUUUGUUCUGUUAAAACGCUUUAAUUGGUCAAAAAGCACAUAAGAACACAGGGCUUUGCUACAGCAAAAUGGUUCAUUACGUCAUUCUUGAGAAUAUUGGAAAAUAUCUAAAAGAAAAGUUCAUACCCUAAUGAAUAUUGUUUUAUUAUGCGAAAGAUUUACUUUAAAAACAAAUUUUCAAACACUUACUAGAUCUAAAACGUUUUAUAUAAAACGAAAUAUAACUUACUUUGGUCAAUUUUUUAAUUUAUUUUUUAAUUUGUAUGAAAAUACUUAUUUGACGAUUUCUGUAAUUUGCCUUGAAAAAAAGGGAAGAAGAAAACUAUCAAAGGGCCUGUCAACACUGUUCUUGGCACAAUAUGCUAAGUAAUGUUGCUGAAUAUGUGAAGCGAUGUAAAAUGCGUCAACGACAUGGGACGAUGGGAAAGUUAAUUUCUCCUGAAUUGCAAAGUGUCUCAGUUUCCUCGGAAGUAAUAAAACAAAUCUGAAUUAGUAUUUGCAAUCUACCAGAGGUUAACAAAUACCAUUUAGUGGUUUACAUGGAAUACUUUUUGAAAUGUUCAGAUGCUAAACCACUUACAAUCAAACUUACUGAAUCAGUGUCAAGAUUUCUGUAUGGCAUCAUCAUGGGUCAUGAGAGUUUAACACGUAACAAUUAAAAGAAUAAUUUCUUAAGAAUAUUAUAACACUAGUCGUUAGCCCGUGAAAAAAUCUACGGGUUCGCCCGUCCUUUAAAUUUACCUGUGGCAACAAAGUGGAUAAAAAUAUACCGCAUUUGGUAUUCGUGUUUUUGUAACAUCAUUUUCUAACUCAGCGGGGGUCCGCGCAGAGAGGUUGAUCAACGCAUUACAUCUGUAUACCCUCCAUAAUUAAAUGGUCUUUGUAAAUGACAAGGUCAGAAUAUGAAAGAAUCUCUUGUGGGGAAAUUUUAUGGUAAACCAUCUGAUGUUAUCAAAGGUGUCUUGUUUGCACACAAAGUGAGUAAAUAUUUUUAAACAAAGUUCUCACGAUUCUUUCUAACGUACAACAGGCACCGAGUUCUUCUUGUUAACAUCAAGUACAGCUCAAGUAUACCUUAAAAAACUAGUGAGAAUGCCCAGCCAUUUAACCAGGAAGUAUUUAAUAUCUAACGUUGUCAUUGAGAGAGAAAGCCUAUCAGAAAGCAAGCAAAAAUACAUUGCUAAUGCUCAAGAAAAUCACCAAAAAGCUUAUAACAGUCGACAUUGAGGGCUAACGUCACUUAAGGCCAAAGAUAUAUUUUGGCUACGACAGUGCAGAAAAGGUGAAAAGCUUUCUUAAAAAUAGACAGCUUGUAUACUAUAUAAAAUAUAACAAAAAAGGUUGACACACAUUAAAGCUCGAUAAUACAACAAUAGGUUUAUAUGACCAUAUAUCAUUAAGAAAUAUAUUAAAAAUCUUAUCUUAAAAAAUCUUAAAAAAUUUAAUCAUUAUAUAUAUAUGAUCAUAGAAAUUUUCAUCAUAUAACGUAUUUUACACGAUCAAUUUUAUAUGAUCAUAUAGUAUCUCUAUUAUAAUAGCCGUUGUCUGUCUGUCUGUCUCCGCGCGGACCCCCGCUGAGUUAGAAAAUGAUGUUACGGAGACACGAAUAUCAAAUGCGAUAUAUUUUUAUCCACUUUGUUGCGACGGGUAAAUAUAAAGGACGGGCGAACCAGUGGAUUUUUCCACGGGCAACGACUAGUGUGUUAUAUAAAAUAUGAUCAUGUAAAAGCGGCUUAAUAUAUACAUUACGAGAGAAAAGUUUAAAAAGAAAAAUUUCGAAUGUUUUCAAACAAAUAUAUCACCGUUUGUCGGAAAAAAAAAAUUGUCAGAAAACAUCUAGUAGGAAUAAAAUGAAAAAGCAACAAAAACACCUUUGAAACUAUAACUAUAUAUAUUUUAGGUUUAUUUGAGUAUAGGCAUGACUAUGAAUUCAUCAUAAAAAGGCUUGGAAAGUAAAAACUAGCUUGGAAGAAUUUGUUUAUUUGAGAAGAAUAAGGAACAGAAUUACAUACAGAGCUUAUCUUGAAAAACGUACUUAGGACAUGGUGCUUAAUUCACCAAGUCAACUGCUCACAAUAUGCAUUCAAAAUGCUGAAUGUUUUUCUUGCGUCGGAAAUCAAAUGCAUCCUGGGACCAGCUAACUGCUUUCAAAAGGGUGCCCAAUUACUAAAUACAGAUAUUUUAAUUUAUUUCAGAAACUUAGUCCCGUUUUUAGAAUGAUAUGAAUACAUUAUUAUUUACUGUUUCCAAGUAAAUUACUAAAACUCAAUAUGCAGUUUACUAGAGCUCAGUGGCACUUCAUAUUACUUCUGAUUAGUUCAAAAAAUUAAAAUUAGCUUGUGCUAGUAUAGCUAAGCCAAAAAGUAGCCAGCAGGUAAGCUAACACCCUAGAAAAACAUUUUAAAUAUCUUUUUGAGCUCUCCAUUCACCCAAAAUCAAUAUUGAAUAUGCUUGACUGAUGCUAACAGAAGUAUUCCAGAAACCUAACGAAAAAUAACAUUGACUUCGGGGGAAAGGGGAUGGCACAGUAAAGAGAUUUCAAUGACUGGAUUUUCUUAUAGCAUUUUCAGAAGUAUUUAUUUGCCACGGUUGCAGCUAUACCUUAGCUGCAUGACUUACCAACAAAUCAUUUUUCAACAUUUGUUGCAUAAACUGAUAUUUAAAACUAAUAUUUUCGGUAUUUGCUGUUGUGAUCAUGUAAUUGUCGCAUUUCCUCUGUCACUACUCCCUCUCUUACUGACUGUUAAUAAUCGUACAUUUGUAUCAAGCAUUGUGAAGAUUAACUUUAAUACUUACAGUUUGUAAGUAAUAUGAAUUGAUAGAGCAUAGAGCUUAUCAUAAAUCUCCAUAUAUAGAAAAAAGUAAAGUCUUUUUUUUAAAUGGCACCUAAUUUUUUUAGGUUUUUAUUAAAAAAAAAUGAAAAUAAAAUAUAAAAUAUAAAAUAUAAAUCCUGAAAAUUAAUCUUGCAGAAUUAUUCCAAUUGUUUAUUUACAGAAAAUAAUCUCAAUGAAAUAUUUCCCUAUUGUCAAUUUGUGAAAAUACAAAACCAAAACUUUUCCUUUUCACGUCACAAAGAAAUUUCACAUUGUUUUUAAAGUUCGGCAUGACAAGCAUUUUGUAGACAAAAUUUUAAAGAAAUUUCUUUAAUUCUAGACAGUAUGUCAGUAAAUGUUUUGUGUUGUUUUAAGCAACAAUUUUUUAAUUAUUUUGUAAAGUGAUCCUCUCAAUUUUUAGCAUUACAAAGACCUUAUUUAUAGUUAGGAGGCAUUCGUUAUCUUACCUAAUACAAUAUAAACUGAUUUGUCUACCUAUACCAAGAAAUAUUACCCGAGGUCAAAAGUAUCGACCUAGCUUGCAAGAUCGAUACGCUGACCGAGGGUAAUAUUUCUCGGAAUGGAUAGACAAAAUCAGUUUAUAUUGUACUUAUUAACUGAUGCCAUUUUCCAAAUGUUUGAAGAAAUCAGGAUUAUUUUCUGAAGAUGUACUUGUGACAAGGCUGUAAAAACCAGGUUUUGUUAAAAAAAGAAAACGUUUGAUUAGAAUUUCAUUGUUUCAAUUUUUCAAAUACAUGUACAAAGGGAAAACAAAACAUUGGAAUAACUAUAUAUAGAACUUUUUUAAACGUUUUUUGAACCAAAAGUUUAUUCUUCGUCAGAAGAAGAGUCUAUUACACAAAUUCGACGUUUUUUUGCUUGUUGUUUAUUGUGCUGAUGAAUGUUUAUAUUAAAAACGUAGUUAUUUAUGUGUGCACCAUCGAACAUGGAUUUAAAAUUAUCAACAUUUCUUGAUGAUGAGAUGGAUGUAGUGUUUGUGAUGUUUUGCAAAAGACGUUUUUUGUUCAAACUGACGUCAGAGAUUGGGAUAGCAUAAACUCAAUUCCAAAAUCGAAAUUACUCUCCAGUUCUUCAAUGAUUCUCGAAUCGAUGAUGUUAUUGUUUUUUGUAGCUUUAAGUUGUUUUGUAAAAAUAUAGUAAUUAAAGUAAAAUUUCAAGCCUUGUAUGUAGCUAUGUUUUCACGACUUUCUGGCAAUGUUAUUUAUUUACAUUUAUAGCUACCAUUAUGGUUUCUAAGAAGUUAAAAUUUAUACUGUGCUGUAUAAAGCCCGUCGUUAAGGCUUUUUAUCCAAUCAGCGCUACGGAUUUCCCGUAUUAACCGGUUAAAAAUAGUUAUCAGUUAAUAAACUUUGUUAUAAAACAAAAUUUAUAUCGAAACACAAAAUCUAUUUGAUAGUUACUGCAAUUUAACAACGCUAGAGGCAUUUCUUGUUAUUUAAUGAAGUAGAUGAAUUGAUUAUUAGUCACACUCUUAGAAGACUUCAAACAUGUAAAGAUGUAAAAAAUGAAAGCACAGCGGCUUAAAUGGCUUAAAAUAGGCGCCGUUGGAACAAAGUUGUAAUCACGGCAUAAUUGACGUUUAAAAAAACGUGUCAGAGUAUUUCAAGUCAAUCCAUUGAUGUUUGCACAGUUUAUAGGUUUAUAUUUCUCACGUAUAUUUAAGCUAAAUUUCUGUAAAAACUUUUCUCAUAUUUGAUGACCAUUCUCUCCCCUGUGGAAUUGUAGAAAAAGAUUUUAAAAAUCGAGUUCUUUUCUGUUUACAGUGGACUCUCCAUAACUCGAAACCCUUUAACUCUAUCAGCUCCUUAACUCGAAGUAAUUCGUAGGCACCGUAGAAAACACCGUAGAAUAAUCAACACUCUACUACGCAAAUCUCCAUAACUGGAAAAUCUGCUAAAGUUGAACAAUAUUUUUUGUCAUUUAAAAGCACAUUUGUUCUGUAAAACUCGAACAAUCUUAUCUUAUUUUCUACGGCCCCUUAGACCAUUCGAACGCGCCGACUGUCCAUUGGUGUGUCCUUCUGUACUUAAAACAAAAUUUUCCUGACAAAAUCGACCCUGAUAUCUCAACAGACGAUUUCAUCAAUUUUGACAUCGAAGUCAGUACUUUCCCUAGUCGACUAUCAACCGCUGAUAUAAUGGGUUAAAUCAAAUUAGAAUUCUCUGGGGCUCAAGCAGAAUACAGGAAUAAAGAUGACGUAGAGAACAAAGACCAGGGCAAGAGCAAGAUUACUUAACCAACGACAGAAGAAGUCCCGAAAGCUGUUAGUAUUCUCGAAGAUUUCAGCCUUUUCUCUGAAUUUGGAAAAGAAAUGAUGGAGUCUCUCAAGGAUUUGAAUGAUAAUAUUAAACAUCAUAUCAAUUUGACCAGUAAACAAACUGUAAUUACGGAUUGUUUCAUUACAGAAUAAAUUUAGUCAACUGAAAUAAACUGUUUACGACUUACUUCUCACCCGUAAGGUAAAUAAUUACUCAAAUACAUCAAAUACAUCAAUAAUAAUAAUAAUAAUAAUAAUAAU